UGAAAUUAUCGGCAGUGGGCUAAAGGGAUACUUCUUACACUAAUUCAAAUUGAGAAGAAUUAAUUAGAAAUUAGCCCAAUUAUAUAUAUAUAUACUCCUUACGUCUCUUUCCCUUUCUCCCUCAACUCUCUCUCUAUUUCUUCUCCCCCUCGCCUCUCUCUCUCAAAUCUGUCGCCGCCGCUGCACGGGCGGCGAUUCCCCGGCCUCCCCACGCCUCCACGGCCGCUGCCUCAUCGCCGACUCCUGAGAGAUUUUUGAAGGUGGGUGAAAUCAGUGAUGCAUCAGGCUGUGGGGCUGCUACUGUCGUCGAUAGGGUGCCGAAGAUUAGUCGCCGGAGUCCCGACAGAUUUAUAAUCUCGAGACAAGUUCUUAUUUUGUGAAGAAUUGUUAUUCUUGAUCUACAUGCUUAUAUGCAAAUGUUGAGAAAAGGAAAAGUGCUUGGAGUUUACCUUCAUUACGUGGGAAAAUGUGUUGUUGGAUUGUGGGACUUGACCCUGUAAUUGUUUGCAACUCUCCCACUUUUCUUACUCCUUAUCUCUCCUUUGGAUGGUUGAAAGUUUUGGAGUGAGUUCCUAUUGUUUUGUAAGUGAUGCUGGAAAAAGAAAAGCUCGUUCCCAUAUAUAUGCAUUUACCUUGCCUA